rnacentral:rRNA from 1 species
AUUGAACGCUGGCGGAAUGCUUUACACAUGCAAGUCGAACGGUAGAGGGGGCAACCCUUUGAGAGUGGCGAACGGGUGAGUAAUAUAUCGGAACGUGCCCAGUCGUGGGGAUAACGUAGCGAAAGCUACGCUAAUACCGCAUACGAUCUAUGGAUGAAAGCGGGGGAUCGCAAGACCUCGCGCGAUUGGAGCGGCCGAUAUCAGAUUAGGUAGUUGGUGAGGUAAAGGCUNACCAAGCCGACGAUCUGUAGCUGGUCUGAGAGGACGACCAGCCACACUGGGACUGAGACACGGCCCAGACUCCUACGGGAGGCAGCAGUGGGGAAUUUUGGGACAAUGGGCGCAAGGCCUGAUCCAGCAAUGCCGCGUGCAGGAUGAAGGCCU